AUUUGUUUCCCCAUGUUCCGUGUCCGUUCCCGUGUCGCGUUUCUGUGCAUGGCCGUGUCAGCGCUCCUCCUCUUUCCUCUCUGCCUCGCUCGCGCCAUCUCUCUUUUUCUCUGUUCACCUCAUCUCUUUCUCGCACCUUUCUCCUCCUAUACCUUAUUCAUUCUUGCUCCUCUCUGAAAUCGGAAAUUUUGGAGGAUUUUUGUUAUUCGUAAAAUUAGGGUUUCUGGAUACUAAAUUAAAAGGAUGAUUCAAGGUGUGUUCGACAUGCAGACGAAAUUCGAGGGAUGUAAUUCAUCUGAUCUGCAAGCAUCUGGAGCUUUUUCGUAUAUGUUAAGCAAAUAUUACAAAGAACAAUUUACAUCCACUUCUACUAUCUGCUGAGUCAGAACAUAGGGUACUUAUCGCCAUCCUAAGUUACUUGAAACUCAGAUAACGAACUUGAUAUAUGUUCGGUUCAGGAUAUCUAGGGAAGUGUCGGUUACUAUAGGGGAAAUCAAUAAUCAUAUGAUAUCUGCUGCUCAAGAAUCAAUUUAUUUUUGUGCUCAAGAAUCACUGAUCUUCACUUUUCUAAAAUCAUGGAAAUCAAGAAGCUAUUAUCUGUAUAUGCGAGGCUGGACCUAUGUCAUUUUUUGGGUCAAAGUUUAGGAGAGGGGUAUUAUUAUUGUCCAAAGACAAAGAAAACAGAAGAUAAGACGAACUGGGACUAAGGCUGCAAAUUUUUUUGGGCAAGUGAUCUUCGGUUACGUCCAUGUGGUCAAGGUGCCUAUUGUGUACUUACGAAGUAAGGUCAAGGCAGAAAAAAAUACAAGUGAUCUCGAGGGGUAUGUGAAGCAACUUUUCCGCUUCGUUUUUGGCUAAAGUUGUAUUUAGGCUCCAUUAGAUAGGGUGUAGAAUAUUUUAUAUGUAAACGAGUUUUCCUUUUCCUCUCAUA